rfam:Hordeum vulgare subsp. vulgare, WGS project CAJW01000000 data, contig: morex_contig_244705
UCACUACUCUUUCCGUCCCAAAAUUCUUGUCUUAGGUUUGUCUAGAAAUGUAUGUAUCUAAAUAUGAUUAGAUACAUUCAUAUCUAGACAAAUCUAAGACAAGAAUUUUGAGACGGACGGAGUAUGUA